AUUUAGGUAGCUUAAAAUUUAAAGCUUGAUAUUGAAGUUAUCACUAUGAGUUUAAUUAACUCCUUAAAUA
rnacentral:tRNA from 1 species